rnacentral:rRNA from 1 species
UACCUCCACGGGGGGCAGCAGUGGGGAAUAUUGCACAAUGGGGGAAACCCUGAUGCAGCGACGCCGCGUGAGUGAAGAAGUAUUUCGGUAUGUAAAGCUCUAUCAGCAGGGAAGAAAAUGACGGUACCUGAUUAAGAAGCCCCGGCUAACUACGUGCCAGCAGCCGCGGUAAUACGUAGGGGGCAAGCGUUAUCCGGAUUUACUGGGUGUAAAGGGAGCGUAGACGGCAGCACA